rnacentral:lncRNA from 1 species
AGCAUAUUUAUACUCUAUGGAACAAUGAGACCUUAGUGCAGAGUUGAAAUAUAUAUAUGAGGUUUGCCUCCUGCAUAGUUACAAAAAAGGCUUUAUAAAAGACAUUCAAGUAAAAGUAAGAAAAGCCUUAGCUCAAAACUUACCCAACCCACCUAGCUCAAAUACAAGAGAUGUGCGGAAUCAGCAGUGUGUUCCAUUACCAUACCCAUUGACAAAACUUAGCUCCAUAAAGAACAUUCACAAAAAAGCAAAGAUAAGAUCAGCCUGCUAUAGAACAUCAAUGAUAUUUAAUAAAAUAAAUAAAAAACAGAGGAGGAGUGAAGGAUAGAAAUUGGGAGUGUAUGAAAUUCUUGCUAAGAUAAUGGAUUUCCAGCAAAGCAUGGCAUUUAUAGAGGUCACUAUGAGAACAUUACAACAGAGAAUAGAAGAGCACAAGAAAGAUAUAUCCGUGGGGAACCUCACCACAGCCCUUGCCGUAGAGGCCUACACUAAGGACCUGCAAAUAAAAUGGGAUGAAGCAAAGAUAAUAAAGCUUUUUCGCUAUGAAAUCGCAGGCAUUCCUAAUUGAGACUAUAGAAAUCCUGAAGGCAGAAGGCAGAGAACAGAUUUUAAAUGAAAAGCCAGAAAUAUCAGCCUCUUGGGCCUAUUUAAAAAAUGGAAAGACACAAGGCAAAAAACCACAUAAGUAGGACCCAGAAGAACUGCUUAAUGUGCUUACUAAAGUGGGUGUUUUGAUUUGUCAUUAUUUUGUUUAUUAUAUUUUAUUUAUCUAUUUACCUCAUACACUUUGUAUAAUUUAUUCACUUUGGAGUUAUCAUUUGCCUAAUUGUAUACUUAAUGUUUUUGUUUUAUAAGUUUUUUAAUAAGUUACUGUAUGAUAACAAGGAAACCUGUUUGUUUAUCUUUAAAUUUAUGUUCU